UUAAGUGCUAUAAAAUGUAAGAAAAGCCACUACAAAAAGCAAUGUCCAGAAAUGAAAGAAAAACAAGUGAAUGCAUUUACUAAAAGUUUAUGUUCGCUAAACCACUUUUUUCUUAUAAAAAAAUUAGGCAUUCUCCCUAUUCCAUAAUAAUGUAUGGAAGAUGGAUCGUGAUCGAAGGGACGAACAAGUUUUGGCAUGGUUGAUGAAGGAAGAUUUAGAAGACAUUGAGGACCCGUCUUUUAGAGCCGAUGAUAUUGAAAGCGAU
rnacentral:misc_RNA from 1 species